rnacentral:rRNA from 1 species
AUUGAACGCUGGCGGCAUGCCUUACACAUGCAAGUCGAACGGCAGCAUGAUCUAGCUUGCUAGAUUGAUGGCGAGUGGCGAACGGGUGAGUAAUACAUCGGAACGUGCCCUGUAGUGGGGGAUAACUAGUCGAAAGAUUAGCUAAUACCGCAUACGACCUGAGGGUGAAAGUGGGGGACCGCAAGGCCUCAUGCUAUAGGAGCGGCCGAUGUCUGAUUAGCUAGUUGGUGAGGUAAAGGCUCACCAAGGCGACGAUCAGUAGCUGGUCUGAGAGGACGAUCAGCCACACUGGGACUGAGACACGGCCCAGACUCCUACGGGAGGCAGCAGUGGGGAAUUUUGGACAAUGGGCGAAAGCCUGAUCCAGCAAUGCCGUGUGUGUGAAGAAGGCCUUCGGGUUGUAAAGCACUUUUGUCCGGGAAGAAAUGGCUCUGGUUAAUACCUGGGGUCGAUGACGGUACCGGAAGAAUAAGGACCGGCUAACUACGUG